rnacentral:RNase_P_RNA from 1 species
UAAGUAGGAUAAGCAAUCGCGGCCACGUAAGUGGGUGAGGAAAGUCCGGGCUUCACAGGGCAGGAUGCCGGAUAACGUCCGGUGGAGGUGACUCCAAGGCCAGUGCAACAGAAAUAAACCGCCGGUUCCUGACCGGUAAGGGUGGAAAGGCAGUGUAAGAGACUACCGUCCGGCUGGUAACAGCCGGAGCCAUGUAAACCCCAUCCGAAGCAAGACCAGAUGAAAACGAUAGGCUUGCCCGGCCUGUUUUCAGGUAGGUCGCUUGAGGCUGCCGGUAACGGCAGUCCUAGAUAGAUGAUUGCUCACGACAUAACCCGGCUUAUCGUCCUGCUUAUUUG